rnacentral:rRNA from 1 species
AUACCAGCACCCCGAGUGGUCGGGACGAUUAUUGGGCCUAAAGCAUCCGUAGCCGGUGUAGCAAGUCCUCCGUUAAAUCCACUUGCUCAACAAGUGGGCUGCGGAGGAUACUGCUACACUAGGGGGCGAGAGAGGCGAGGGGUAUUCCACGGGUAGGGGUAAAAUCCUCUGAUCCGUGGAGGACCACCAGUGGCGACGGCGCCUCGCCAGAACGCGCCCGACGGUGAGGGAUGAAAGCUGGGGGAGCAAACCGUAUUAGAUACCCUAGUAGUCC